rnacentral:lncRNA from 1 species
UUCUUUUCAAAAGAAAUACCAAUCGCCCAUUCAUUACAUUAAUUCCCUAUGUUUGAAGAGGAAUAAGAGUGCAUUCAUAUUCGGACUUAAUUAACAAAAGAGCAUACGUACUAUGCUCCCGAGGGAGUAUACUGACUUGCUUCGUAGGAUUUUAUCUAUUUGAAAUUUUAGAAUCCAUCUAAACAUUACCAGAGGACUAUUUUUAAGAAAACCAAUUUGGAUUUUGAGUGAAAUUUUA